CUCAGAUUGAACGCUGGCGGCAGGCCUAACACAUGCAAGUCGAGCGGUAGAGAGGUGCUUGCAUCUCUUGAGAGCGGCGGACGGGUGAGUAAUGCCUAGGAAUCUGCCUAGUGGUGGGGGAUAACGUUCGGAAACGGACGCUAAUACCGCAUACGUCCUACGGGAGAAAGCGGGGGAUCUUCGGACCUCGCGCCAUUAGAUGAGCCUAGGUCGGAUUAGCUAGUUGGUGAGGUAAUGGCUCACCAAGGCGACGAUCCGUAACUGGUCUGAGAGGAUGAUCAGUCACACUGGAACUGAGACACGGUCCAGACUCCUACGGGAGGCAGCAGUGGGGAAUAUUGGACAAUGGGCGAAAGCCUGAUCCAGCCAUGCCGCGUGUGUGAAGAAGGUCUUCGGAUUGUAAAGCACUUUAAGUUGGGAGGAAGGGCAGUAAGUUAAUACCUUGCUGUUUUGACGUUACCAACAGAAUAAGCACCGGCUAACUUCGUG
rnacentral:rRNA from 1 species